GCCUACGGGGGGCAGCAGUGGGGAAUAUUGCGCAAUGGGCGAAAGCCUGACGCAGCGACGCCGCGUGAGGGAUGAAGGUCUUCGGAUCGUAAACCUCUGUCAGCAGGGAAGAACGGUCACUGUGCUAAUCAGCAGUGAAUUGACGGUACCUGCAAAGGAAGCACCGGCUAACUCCGUGCCAGCAGCCGCGGUAAUACGGAGGGUGCGAACGUUAAUCGGAAUUACUGGGCGUAAAGCGCUCGUAGGCGGUAUGUCAAGUCAAGGGUGAAAUCCCCGCGCCCAACGUGGGAACUGCCUUUGAAACU
rnacentral:rRNA from 1 species